rnacentral:rRNA from 1 species
GAUGAACGCUGGCGGCGUGCGUAACACAUGCAAGUUGAACGACGGUGCUAUGAAGUGGAGACACGGAGUGGCAUACGGAGUAGCGGACGGGUGAGUAAAGCAUGAGAAGCUGUCCUACGGAGGGGGAUAACGUUCGGAAACGGACCCUAAUACCCCAUAGUCCGAGAGGUUAAAGGCAGAGAUGUGCCGUAGGAGGUGCUCGUGUCCUAUCAGCUGGUUGGUGAGGUAAGGGCUCACCAAGGCAACGACGGGUAGCCGGCCUGAGAGGGUGACCGGCCACACUGGAACUGAGAUACGGUCCAGACUCCUACGGGAGGCAGCAGUGGGGAAUAUUGGGCAAUGGGAGGAAUCCUGACCCAGCGACGCCGCGUGAACGAAGACGGCCUUCGGGUUGUAAAGUUCUU